AGUGGACACACCAGAGAAUUAUGAUGAUGUCAUUAUUAAUGGACAGUGCUCUCAGUGUGCAACAGAGGAAGAUCAGGAGGAAUAUGAUGAUGUGUGGAGUAUAACUGAAGAUGUGAUAAACCUGUUAGACUAUGAUGAUGGGGGGGAGGUGUCAAACGGUGAGGGAGGAGCUGUAUGACUCAAUGGCCACACCUGCUGCCUCUGUUUAUUUCAUCAAGUUUUUUUUUUUUUUUUUUUUUAAGUUGCCUUUGAUUCUCUUAAUAUAAUUUAAUAUGUUGCUUAAAAUAGUCAUGAACACAGAUGAAGAGAAUCACUUUUAAUAUUAUAAAUUCUAUUUAACAUAUGGUGGUUAUGGAUCAGGACUAGGGUUUAAGGGACUAAGUAUUUUCUAUGCUUAAUCAUUUUUGGUUAAUUAAUAUGUGUUUGGGGCAACAUGUAAUGAAAAAAGAAGUGUAACAAAGGGAGUAAUAAUUGACAAGAUUUUCAUAAU